rnacentral:tRNA from 1 species
GGAGCGGUACCCAAGUGGCUAAAAGGGGGCGGUCUUGAAAACCGCUAGGUCGUUAAUUCGGCGCGUGGGUUCGAAUCCCACCCGCUCCG